rnacentral:tRNA from 1 species
CGGGGUGUGGCUCAGUUGGAUUCAGAGCGCAUGGUUCGGGACCAUGAGGUCGUGGGUUCAAGUCCCACCACCCCGACCA